rnacentral:rRNA from 1 species
UGCUACAGGCUUAACACAUGCAAGUCGAGGGGCAUCAGGAAGAAAGCUUGCUUUCUUUGCUGGCGACCGGCGCACGGGUGAGUAACACGUAUCCAACCUGCCCUUUACUCGGGGAUAGCCUUCCGAAAGAAAGAUUAAUACCCGAUGGCAUAAUGAUUCCGCAUGGUUUCAUUAUUAAAGGAUUCCGGUAAAGGAUGGGGAUGCGUUCCAUUAGGUUGUUGGUGGGGUAACGGCUCACCAAGCCUUCGAUGGAUAGGGGUUCUGAGAGGAAGGUCCCCCACAUUGGAACUGAGACACGGUCCAAACUCCUACGGGAGGCAGCAGUGAGGAAUAUUGGUCAAUGGGCGCUAGCCUGAACCAGCCAAGUAGCGUGAAGGAUGAAGGCUCUAUGGGUCGUAAACUUCUUUUAUAUAAGAAUAAAGUGCAGUAUGUAUACUGUUUUGUAUGUAUUAUAUGAAUAAGGAUCGGCUAACUCCGUGCCAGCAGCCGCGGUAAUACGGAGGAUCCGAGCGUUAUCCGGAUUUAUUGGGUUUAAAGGGAGCGUAGGUGGACUGGUAAGUCAGUUGUGAAAGUUUGCGGCUCAACCGUAAAAUCGCAGUUGAUACUGUCAGUCUUGAGUACAGUAGAGGUGGGCGGAAUUCGUGGUGUAGCGGUGAAAUGCUUAGAUAUCACGAAGAACUCCGAUUGCGAAGGCAGCUCACUGGACUGCAACUGACACUGAUGCUCGAAAGUGUGGGUAUCAAACAGGAUUAGAUACCCUGGUAGUCCACACAGUAAACGAUGAAUACUCGCUGUUUGCGAUAUACAGUAAGCGGCCAAGCGAAAGCAUUAAGUAUUCCACCUGGGGAGUACGCCGGCAACGGUGAAACUCAAAGGAAUUGACGGGGGCCCGCACAAGCGGAGGAACAUGUGGUUUAAUUCGAUGAUACGCGAGGAACCUUACCCGGGCUUAAAUUGCAGUGGAAUGAUGUGGAAACAUGUCAGUGAGCAAUCACCGCUGUGAAGGUGCUGCAUGGUUGUCGUCAGCUCGUGCCGUGAGGUGUCGGCUUAAGUGCCAUAACGAGCGCAACCCUUAUCUUUAGUUACUAACAGGUCAUGCUGAGGACUCUAGAGAGACUGCCGUCGUAAGAUGUGAGGAAGGUGGGGAUGACGUCAAAUCAGCACGGCCCUUACGUCCGGGGCUACACACGUGUUACAAUGGGGGGUACAGAAGGCAGCUAGCGGGUGACCGUAUGCUAAUCCCAAAAUCCUCUCUCAGUUCGGAUCGAAGUCUGCAACCCGACUUCGUGAAGCUGGAUUCGCUAGUAAUCGCGCAUCAGCCACGGCGCGGUGAAUACGUUCCCGGGCCUUGUACACACCGCCCGUCAAGCCAUGGGAGCCGGGGGUACCUGAAGUACGUAACAGCAAGGAUCGUCCUAGGGUAAAACUGGUGAC